UCGUUCAUAUGUUGACAUGUGUC
rnacentral:snRNA from 1 species